AGCAUGUCUGCCUCAGCGUCGGUUUACACCCUCACCCCUCCCACUUUGUUGGGUUGUUUGGCAACUUUGCCAGCAUAGGUGGUGGAUCUGGCUUCCCCAAUCUGCCGUCUGGUAGAUUGGGUUGGCUGAAGAAUAGAGGUUUAAGCAAGGACCCGUUAUGGGCUUCAACUGGACACGUAGCACCGGCUUGUGCCGACUACACGAAGUUGAUGCUCGUGGAUCUUGCUAGAGGCCAAGCAGGAACGUGCCCAUGGCACGUCUAAACUUUCGACCUGAGCUCAGGCAAGGCUACCCGCUGAACUUAAGCAUAUCAAUAAGCGGAGGAA
rnacentral:rRNA from 1 species